rnacentral:rRNA from 1 species
AGUGAACGCUGGCGGUAGGCCUAACACAUGCAAGUCGAACGGCAGCACAGUAAGAGCUUGCUCUUACGGGUGGCGAGUGGCGGACGGGUGAGGAAUACAUCGGAAUCUACUUUUUCGUGGGGGAUAACGUAGGGAAACUUACGCUAAUACCGCAUACGACCUACGGGUGAAAGCAGGGGAUCUUCGGACUUUGCCCGUUUGAUGGAGCCGAUGUCGGAUUAGCUAGUUGGCGGGGUAAAGGCCCACCAAGGCGACGAUCCGUAGCUGGUCUGAGAGGAUGAUCAGCCACACUGGAACUGAGACACGGUCCAGACUCCUACGGGAGGCAGCAGUGGGGAAUAUUGGACAAUGGGCGCAAGCCUGAUCCAGCCAUACCGCGUGGGUGAAGAAGGCCUUCGGGUUGUAAAGCCCUUUUGUCGGGAAAGAAAAGCAGCAGGUUAAUACCCCGCUGUUCUGACGGUACCCAAAGAAUAAGCACCGGCUAACUUCGUG